rfam:Gossypium raimondii Chr10_contig_1451, whole genome shotgun sequence.
GGUUAAAAUUUUCAUCCAUUUCUUAAAAACUAUCAUGGUUGAUGGGAUGACUAGAUAGUUACACUUGGUGUGCCAUGUGUACCUCAUAUUAAUGUACAAUGAUAAGUUUUAAUCGUAGAAAUGGAUGAAACCUUUAACA